CAAGCGCGAGAGCGGAGUGAGCGGGCCGCCAACACAUGGCCCAGGAAAGUCCCCGGGCUAGCAGCCGCAGAGAUGCGGGCUUGGAAACGAGUUGUCUUCGACGGAAGCCCAUUCGGCUGAGACAUGUGUGGAGCUUCGGGCUUUCGCCGAAGCGUAGUGGCCGAUAUUACAGUUAUUCACUUGGUCCAUCGGAUCAACUGAACGGGGCUUACGCUCUCGCGCGU
rnacentral:RNase_MRP_RNA from 1 species